AAAUUGAAGAGUUUGAUCAUGGCUCAGAUUGAACGCUGGCGGCAGGCCUAACACAUGCAAGUCGAACGGUAACAGGAAACAGCUUGCUGUUUCGCUGACGAGUGGCGGACGGGUGAGUAAUGUCUGGGAAACUGCCUGAUGGAGGGGGAUAACUACUGGAAACGGUAGCUAAUACCGCAUAACGUCGCAAGACCAAAGAGGGGGACCUUCGGGCCUCUUGCCAUCGGAUGUGCCCAGAUGGGAUUAGCUAGUAGGUGGGGUAACGGCUCACCUAGGCGACGAUCCCUAGCUGGUCUGAGAGGAUGACCAGCCACACUGGAACUGAGACACGGUCCAGACUCCU
rnacentral:rRNA from 1 species